rnacentral:rRNA from 2 species
GGCGUCGAGCGGCGGACGGGUGAGUAAUGCCUAGGAAAUUGCCCUGAUGUGGGGGAUAACCAUUGGAAACGAUGGCUAAUACCGCAUGAUGCCUACGGGCCAAAGAGGGGGACCUUCGGGCCUCUCGCGUCAGGAUAUGCCUAGGUGGGAUUAGCUAGUUGGUGAGGUAAGGGCUCACCAAGGCGACGAUCCCUAGCUGGUCUGAGAGGAUGAUCAGCCACACUGGAACUGAGACACGGUCCAGACUCCUACGGGAGGCAGCAGUGGGGAAUAUUGCACAAUGGGCGCAAGCCUGAUGCAGCCAUGCCGCGUGUGUGAAGAAGGCCUUCGGGUUGUAAAG